GCGUAAACGAUGUUUACUACGCUCACAUGCUUGUCACGUGAAAUGAUUAAGCUCGAAAGUCCGAUUAUAAAAGGAAGAAGAUAUUAAGGAGGAAGGAAAAAUUAAAAAUCUCUUUUUAAGUAAAUGAGAAAUACUUUAUGGCAUUUAAAUGCAGCAUGGCAGAGGUGGCAGUGAAUUUAAAAUCCGUUUGCGACAAGAUAUCGUAUGCUGCCGCGAAGAGAGCACCGGAGUAUCAAUAUUAUGAGCCGCGACUGGUAGCUGUUAGCAAAUUGCAAUCCACGGGAUCGAUAGUAUCUGCAUACGAGGCCGGUCAGAGACAUUUUGGUGAAAAUUAUGUGAACGAAUUGGUGGAGAAGGCCUGCAGCCCCUUGAUCGUUGAAAAAUGCAGAGAAAUUCAAUGGCAUUUUAUAGGGACUUUACAAAGGAAUAAGGUCAACAAGGUGUUAAGUAUACCAAAUUUAUACGUUAUAGAAAGUGUCAAUAGCGACAAACUUGCAAACACGCUCAAUAAUUCAUGGCCAAGAUUUCGAAAGAGCGAUGACAGCAAGUUAAAUGUCAUGGUACAAGUUAAUACAAGUCAAGAAGAAGAAAAAAAUGGUUGCGAUAUUGCACAAGUAUCAACCCUUGUAAAGUAUGUCAUAGAGAACUGUCCCAAUUUGAAAUUUAUGGGAUUGAUGACGAUAGGAAUGUAUGGGUAUGAUGUUGCGAAUGGGCCAAAUCCUGAUUUUAUUUGUUUAAAGAAAUGCAGGGAAAAGGUGCGCGACGAAUUGGGAAUCGAUAUAAAAGAUAUUGAAUUAUCAAUGGGAAUGUCCAGUGAUUAUGAACAUGCUAUUGAAUUAGGCAGUACAAAUGUGAGAGUAGGAACUUCCAUUUUUGGAAGUAGACCACAAAAGAGUAAUUGAAAAGAUGCAAUAUAAAUAAUGUAUUAAAUCAAUAAUUUUACCUCGAGGAAAAAGGAUAUAUAAAAGAACAGGGAUGUAAUUAUCUCAGAGAUAUGAGCAUGAUUCAAAUGUAUCUUGUGCAAGGUCACGAAUUACGCAAGUUAAACGCUCUUAAAAGUUAUGGAAGUCAGUCAGUCAGUCACUUUCUUCGCAAAAUCACAGGCCGUACGCAACAUUGUUCGCCCGAUCGAUCAAAAUUGAAGCUAUGUUUUACAGAGAUGCGAAGAAUAAAAAAAAAAGCUUACGUGACGAAAGUUACUAAAUAUUUUGGGACAAAUUUUCUGCUGCAAUUUCUGUUCCAUGAAAUUAUGGCGGAAAUCAGUAGCUAUUUAAUUUUGGAAGAUAUAGCUUAGUCUUUUAAAAUGUGUUUAGAACGAUAUUACGUAUUCUUCGAUGUUAAACACAUAUAAUUAGGUGCAAUUUUAUUUGCAACCGGCGUUUCCAAAAAAUCUAAAAAACUUUGUAAGAGAUAAUAUUUUCUGGAUUCUAGAAAAAUGUCACAAUUAUUUCUAAAAGUAACGUGAAAUUUAAAAGAUAUUUCUCGUGAGUACACUUUUCUUAAGUGCCCCUCCGCACAUGUUGCAAACAACAACUACGUAAGAAAAAAAUAAGUUGCCCCUAUAAAUGUUAAUAAAGAGACGGAUCCGGUGCAACUUGACGUAAGCUUGCAUCAGACAAUCGUAAAUGAGGAGAUUGGUGCAUACUAUGUAGUCUCUGUCGUAAUAUUCAUAAUGCGAAGCACGAGACAUGCAUCGACAUACAUUGCAGUUUAACAUAAAUUUAAAAGUGACAUGGGCAAUCAAGUUAUAUGUAUCAUACAUACUUCGAUAUGCGUGUGUAUGUAAGCAACUUUGCAGUCGAUAUUGUUAUCUUUCUCAUGAUUUAACGAAAUAGAAUUCAAAUUUAUUGAUAUACAGAUGCAUUUUUUUUUUGCUUCUUACAUUUUUUUACGUUUUAAAAUAAAUAAUAAAAUUAUACAAUGUUAUCGUAUUAAUUGUGUUCUCAUGGUUCAUAAGAAAAGAUAGCAACUAUAUGUGUGCAAACUUGUUUGAUACACUAUCGAAAAAAUUUUUAAGUGACGGUACGUAAAAAGUAUAAGCGGUAGAACUUGAAUGAAUCGAUUAUAAUCGAGUAUUCUCGAGAAUUUAAAUUUAAUUUUUAAAAAUAUAUGUAAUCAUAUAUCAUCAAUACGUACUUGUGAUUCUCUUAUAAUUUAAGUUUUGCGUUUUUAAAUCUUUUAUCAAUCUGUACUACAAAUGCAAUGUGAAUGUUAGUAUAUGAGAAAAGUUUUGACGUAUAUUGCAGAAAGAAAAAUUCACCUACGAUUUCUCGCUUCUGAUGUCAUAGUGGAACACGGUUGCACCGAGAAAACAGAAGCCGAUUAAUACCGAUCAUCGAAGGCGGAAAAUGUAUUCAUGGCUUAAGAUAUAAAACUUUACUACUAUGUGAUGCAAUAACGCCUUACUGUGAACAUAGAAUGCAUACUCGUACAAAGAAGUUUUUGGGAAAAAAUGCACCACGCACACUAGACAGGUUUUCUGUAGCAUGGGUAUAAAUAGGCUUAGAUUUAGACAGAGCAUUCAAUCCAUUCUUCGUGUUUCAACGGGAAAUAGGAAAGCAUCAUGUUCAAACUCCUGGUGAUCUUCGGCCUUUUGGCCAUCACAAAUGUCUACGCCGGCUUGCUCGCUGCACCGGCUAUUGCUGUGAAACCAGCUGCCGUCGCCAUCGCUCCUACUGCCGCGUGGGGUGCUCCUGCCGCCGCGUGGGGUGCUCCUGCUGCCGCGUGGGGUGCUCCGGCCGCCGCGUGGGGUGCUGCUCCUGCCGCCGCGUGGGGUGCUCCUGCUGCCGCGUGGGGAGGUGCUGGUCUUGGACUUAAGCUAGGCUAGAUUUUUUUUUACGUUCAAUGAGAUAUAAGAAACCCGCCGCCAAUCCACCAGCAACUACACAUCGCAGAAUUUACCUUGCCCUUAAUAUUGGAUAUACAAUUCGCUGAUGCAUCUCUCACUUCUCCCUAAAGUCAAUCUUCACAAAAUUGUUUUCUUUUUCUAUUAGGACGUUUCUUCCCCCAUUCCUUGAAAUUUGUUGACAAAUUAUUGAUAAACGCGAAAAAAUAUGAAAUAAUACAAUUUUACAUAUAAAAAAACUUGGGUGUUAUUCAAUCUCGCAGAAACCAUUUUACCCCCGGCGCAGCGGCGCCUCUAUUACAAAUUAAACUCUAUCGUAACGACAUGUUGCGAUAGCUUCUGCCGUAUAUCAUCCCCUUAUGAUAAUUAAGAAACGAAUAGACUUAUGGAUCUAAGGACUAUGGGGGUUGAAAAAUCAAGCUUUGAUUAAGAGUGAAGUACAAUUUUAUUGCGUAACCACCUACAUUGUAGUGUCAUUAAUUUGCCACGUACAGAAGUGGUUACAGAUGUCGAGGAUGUUUGAAUAAAUAUAUAUAUAUGUAUCAUGUAAA